rnacentral:rRNA from 1 species
UACAGAGGGUGCAAGCGUUAAUCGGAGUUACUGGGCGUAAAGGGCGCGUAGGCGGUUAUACAAGUGAGAUGUGAAAUCCCCGGGCUUAACCUGGGAACUGCAUUUUAGACUGUAUAACUGGAGUACUGUAGAGGGCAGUGGAAUUUCCGGUGUAGCGGUGAAAUGCGUAGAGAUCGGAAGGAACAUCAGUGGCGAAGGCGACUGUCUGGACAGAUACUGACGCUGAGGCGCGAAAGCGUGGGGAGCAAACAGG